rnacentral:tRNA from 1 species
GGAGAGGUGACAGAGUGGUCGAAUGUGCCGCACUCGAAACGCGGUGUACGGGAAACCGUACCGAGGGUUCGAAUCCCUCCCUCUCCG